rnacentral:rRNA from 1 species
AUGAACGCUGGCGGCGUGCCUAAUACAUGCAAGUCGAGCGAACGGACGAGAAGCUUGCUUUUCUGAUGUUAGCGGCGGACGGGUGAGUAACACGUGGAUAACCUACCUAUAAGACUGGGAUAACUUCGGGAAACCGGAGCUAAUACCGGAUAAUAUUUUGAACCGCAUGGUUCAAAAGUGAAAGACGGUCUUGCUGUCACUUAUAGAUGGAUCCGCGCUGCAUUAGCUAGUUGGUAAGGUAACGGCUUACCAAGGCAACGAUGCAUAGCCGACCUGAGAGGGUGAUCGGCCACACUGGAACUGAGACACGGUCCAGACUCCUACGGGAGGCAGCAGUAGGGAAUCUUCCGCAAUGGGCGAAAGCCUGACGGAGCAACGCCGCGUGAGUGAUGAAGGUCUUCGGAUCGUAAGACUCUGUUAUUAGGGAAGAACAUAUGUGUAAGUAACUGUGCACAUCUUGACGGUACCUAAUCAGAAAGCCACGGCUAACUACGUG